CUCUAAUCACUUGGUUCUUCUAAGAGCUGUUCCUGUGAUGCUCUCCUGGAGGAGAGGUCUCUCUCACACGGUGCUGGAUGUCAGAGGUAGAUCCAGAGUGGAAGGAAGACAGCGGGAUUCCAGUUAAGCUACGGCGGUUGUGGAGUCUUCGGUGGUUGUGGUGUCCAGUGUGGUGCUUGUGGUCCUCGGCGUCAGCUAGGAAGCAUCCGUUAACCCCAGUCGGGGUGCCAGGGGAUCCCUUACAGUUUCAUUUUAUUACACAUUAUAUUUUGCCUUACACUUUAUUGCACAGUAUUAUGUCUUAUUACAUGUUGUUACAUUUUAUUACACAGUAUUAC